GUGCAAUUGAAUAGCAGCAGCAUGCUUUGAACAUCUGGCUACGUUCAUACUGUGCUGUGUGUUAAAUAAGAUGUAUCCAAAUAUUUACCUACGGUUUUAAUCAGGUGAACCUACAACUGUGCCUGAAAUGGAAAAGAUAAAUGAACGAACUUAAAUAAAACAGUUAAUUAGCCAACUCCGCGGGAUGGGACAUCGAUCUUCAGGCAAAAGUAAAGAAAAAGUACGCUAAGACAGCUAGCGGGUCGGUGAAAAAGUUUUUCAGUCAGUCUAGAGCCUUAAGAGAAAAGCUGUGAUAAAAAGAGCAAGUUAAUCGGAAAAGUUGAACGAGUCGUUGUCAACGGGUGCGCCGGUUGAGUGAUUGGCCAAGUGAAGUUGGGCUCAGUCAGAUUCAGUCGGACUACACGAUUAAUGUCGCAAGUGGAAAGCCAUUAUGUCGCGGAGUGAAUGGAUAACAGGAAUCGUGGGUCUGAAGGAGAUUGACACUAUUACAGUUGAUCUUUCUUUUUACUGUGUAAGCCGGGUUUGCAUUUUUUUAAUCAAAUGUUAGCGUAACGAAAAAAAAAAAUAUUUCAUUGCCAAGACGUAGCGUGGAGAAUAAGUACCAUUAAAUGAAAUAUAAACCUAAUAUGCUCAUACAUAUUAAAAUUCAAGGCAAAGUUACAGCAGUAGCAGUGCCAAAAUCCGAUACUCUAGACAAGUGCAGGGUAUCGUUUAAAAAUUCAAGCUUUUCAUCAAAAAUGCAGUGUGAUUUCACUCCCAAUUAAGCUCGUUAUUUAUGUAUUCGGUAAAAUUUAGCAGCGCGUUGUUACAGUCGUAUUCUGGAAAAAACCCAGAAAUUUGGUUUAACAGUAUUUUAUUUAUCAUAUCAAUAAUGCAACUGGUAGCUAUUUGUGGAGCUUUAGCUGCAACAGAUUGUUUGGAUAAAGAUUCUGUUACUAACUUCGUAACGUAAUUGUAUUAUGUACUUCCAUUAUCUAUGUAUGUAUGUAUAAUGAUAAAAAUUGGUAAUGCAACGAGAGCGCAAAGUUUAUUUUUGUUCAAGUUCUAAUUUGGUUUAGCGAGUGAUUUUAAUUUAGAAUUAUGAGCGUAGAGAGGGACUCAAAAGUACGUCUUUCUUUGUCACUUGUUUCACUCAUGGUUACUUAAGGCUAUUUUAACUACAAGUUUAGUUAUCACAAUAACCAACAAUACAAAUAGCACAAAAAAAAGCAAUAGUGAAAUGUUAAUGACAGUUUGACAAUUCAGCCACAAUUUUUGAGAGCGUUACUAACUCUGCAUAUUUGACUGCAAAAAAAUAUCUAAUGUCUAAAUAUCGUUCAAAGUAGAGUUAUUUUUAGAUGAUAAUCUUUCCACUUUUUCGACUAGAUACCUAUAUGGUUUUUUUCUCAAUAAACCACGUAAAAUAUUUUGAAAAUGUUUAUUUAUCUCAUACGGAUUUCUAAACGUUUUGUUUUGUUUGAGGUCUGCUAAUGAAAGUUACAUUAAAAUAUUUAGUGAGUCAGAGCGAAUUAAAUCCAAGUAUUCGACAACACACGCUCCUUUGAAAUUCGAAAAGGUUGAAUUUACAUUCUAAUUUAAAUGUCAUUUUGUCUCAAGCUCGUAUCAAAAUCAAAUUUUACGCACUGAGUCUAAGCUGCGAAGUACCUACGCUAGUUCCAGGAGCAGGAAAAACAAUUAAAUAACUUUAGUAAAAUAAUACUUUAGUUUUAUUGGUUGUAUUAUGUUAUAAACCCAUGACAGAUACUACCUAGGUACCAAUUUAUAU